rnacentral:rRNA from 1 species
AUUGAACGCUGGCGGCAUGCUUUACACAUGCAAGUCGAACGGCAGCGCGGGCUUCGGCCUGGCGGCGAGUGGCGAACGGGUGAGUAAUGCAUCGGAACGUGCCCAGUAGCGGGGGAUAGCCCGGCGAAAGCCGGAUUAAUACCGCAUACGACCUGAGGGUGAAAGCGGGGGACCGAAAGGCCUCGCGCUAUUGGAGCGGCCGAUGUCGGAUUAGCUAGUUGGUGGGGUAAAGGCUUACCAAGGCGACGAUCCGUAGCUGGUCUGAGAGGACGACCAGCCACACUGGGACUGAGACACGGCCCAGACUCCUACGGGAGGCAGCAGUGGGGAAUUUUGGACAAUGGGGGCAAGCCUGAUCCAGCCAUGCCGCGUGCGGGAAGAAGGCCUUCGGGUUGUAAACCGCUUUUGUUCGGGAAGAAAUCCUCUGGGCUAAUACCCCGGGGGGAUGACGGUACCGGAAGAAUAAGCACCGGCUAACUACGUG